AAAGUCCUAGCUUAAUUAGAGCGUCUGAGUUGCAUUCAGAAGAUGCAGGAUAAAGUCCUGCGGAUUUUA
rnacentral:tRNA from 1 species